GUCGGGAUAGCUCACC
rnacentral:tRNA from 1 species